rnacentral:rRNA from 1 species
AAUAUUGGACAAUGGGGGCAACCCUGAUCCAGCCAUGCCGCGUGAGUGAAGAAGGCCCUAGGGUUGUAAAGCUCUUUCGCCAGGGAAGAUAAUGACGGUACCUGGUAAAGAAGUCCCGGCUAACUUCGUGCCAGCAGCCGCGGUAAUACGAAGGGGGCUAGCGUUGUUCGGAAUUACUGGGCGUAAAGCGCACGUAGGCGGAUUAUUAAGUCAGGGGUGAAAUCCCGCAGCUCAACUGCGGAACUGCCUUUGAUACUGGUAAUCUAGAGACCGAGAGAGGUAAGUGGAACUCCUAGUGUAGAGGUGGAAUUCGUAGAUAUUAGGAAGAACACCAGUGGCGAAGGCGGCUUACUGGCUCGGAACUGACGCUGAGGUGCGAAAGCGUGGGGAGCAAAC